rfam:Rattus norvegicus chromosome 2, whole genome shotgun sequence.
GGGGAUUUAGCUCAGUGGUAGAGCGCCUGCCUAGGAAGCGCAAGGCCCUGGGUUCGGUCCCCAGCUCUG